rnacentral:rRNA from 1 species
AUGCUGCAUCUCGAAUCGCGCGACACCUUCCUAUGGAAUCCGUCGACCCUGGCCAGAAUUCGCCUUCACACUGACCAAGAUAAUCUCCUUGACGGCAUAGGAGAUGGAAGGUGUCUGCUCUCACGGAGGCCGUCUGACGCAGAUGCAGACUGCGUCGUGCUCCUACUAGACCGUGAGAACAGCGUCUUCUACUACUGCCGUCCAGUACCAGGAGGCAGCCGAUGGCUCAAGCACGCGCAUGGUCAUGAUAGCUUGAUGGACAAUUGCCAUGCAACGGCUGGUGAAAAGUUCUGCUCAUACAACACCAACAUAAUUGUCACGCUGGAGUUUUCUCCCAACCCAACGUUCACGACCCACGCCCUGUUGGAAUAUGGAAUGGCAAAGUCCACGGGGUAUACCAUGUGGCUUGAUCUCGUCGUUGAGAGCAACAGGGAGCUCUUCAGCCUGACAUUCUGCCACCCGGUGCUGUCUGAACGAAGAGUGACGCAGAUCGUCGUGCGCAAGCUGGAUCUCUCGACGGGGGCUUGGCUGAGAGUGGACACGCUAGGCGACGCCGUGUUCCUCGUCGAUUGCACCCGCCGGGGCGUCGUUUGA